rnacentral:rRNA from 1 species
GCAGCCGCGGUAAUUCCAGCUCCAAUAGCGUAUAUUAAAGUUGUUGCAGUUAAAAAGCUCGUAGUUGAAUUUCGGGGUCAGCAGGCUGGUCGUGCCACUGGUAUGAACUGGUCUCGCUGAUUCCUCCUUUCUGAAGAACUGUAAUGUCAUUAAUUUGGUGUUGCAGGGAAACAGGACUGUUACUUUGAAAAAAUUAGAGUGUUUAAAGCAGGCAAUCGCUUGAAUACAUUAGCAUGGAAUAAUGAAAUAGGACGUUCAAACCUAUUUUGUUGGUUUCUAGGAUUGACGUAAUGAUUAAUAGGGAUAGUUGGG